GAUCCUGGCUCAGGAUGAACGCUGGCGGCGUGCUUAACACAUGCAAGUCGAGCGAAGCACCUAAGAAAGAUUCUUCGGAUGAAUUCUUUUGUGACUGAGCGGCGGACGGGUGAGUAACGCGUGGGUAACCUGCCUCAUACAGGGGGAUAACGGUUAGAAAUGACUGCUAAUACCGCAUAAGACCACGGUACCGCAUGGUACAGUGGUAAAAACUCCGGUGGUAUGAGAUGGACCCGCGU
rnacentral:rRNA from 1 species